CCGUCGAUAGCUCAGUUGGUAGAGCGGUGGACUGUAGCAGUACGUACUAUGGACAUCCAUAGGUCGCUGGCUCGAAUCCGGCUCGACGGA
rnacentral:tRNA from 1 species